AGUGAGCGCUGGCGGUAGGCCUAACACAUGCAAGUCGAACGGCAGCACAGAGGAGCUUGCUCCUUGGGUGGCGAGUGGCGGACGGGUGAGGAAUACAUCGGAAUCUACUCUGUCGUGGGGGAUAACGUAGGGAAACUUACGCUAAUACCGCAUACGACCUACGGGUGAAAGCAGGGGAUCUUCGGACCUUGCGCGAUUGAAUGAGCCGAUGUCGGAUUAGCUAGUUGGCGGGGUAAAGGCCCACCAAGGCGACGAUCCGUAGCUUGUCUGAGAGGAUGAUCAGCCACACUGGAACUGAGACACGGUCCAGACUCCUACGGGAGGCAGCAGUGGGGAAUAUUGGACAAUGGGCGCAAGCCUGAUCCGGCCAUACCGCGUGGGUGAAGAAGGCCUUCGGGUUGUAAAGCCCUUUUGUUGGGAAAGAAAUCCAGCUGGCUAAUACCCGGUUGGGAUGACGGUACCCAAAGAAUAAGCACCGGCUAACUUCGUGCCAGCCGCCGCCGUAA
rnacentral:rRNA from 1 species